CACCAGACUCCUACGGGAGGCAGCAGUGGGGAAUAUUGGGCAAUGGGCGCAAGCCUGACCCAGCAACGCCGCGUGAAGGAAGAAGGCUUUCGGGUUGUAAACUUCUUUUCUGGGGGACGAAGAAAGUGACGGUACCCCAGGAAUAAGCCACGGCUAACUACGUGCCAGCAGCCGCGGUAAUACGUAGGUGGCAAGCGUUAUCCGGAUUUAUUGGGUGUAAAGGGCGUGUAGCCGGGCUUACAAGUCAGAUGUGAAAUCCGGGGGCUCAACCCCCGAACUGCAUUUGAAACUGUAGGUCUUGAGUAUCGGAGAGGCAGGCGGAAUUCCUAGUGUAGCGGUGAAAUGCGUAGAUAUUAGGAGGAACACCAGUGGCGAAGGCGGCCUGCUGGACGACAACUGACGGUGAGGCGCGAAAGCGUGGGGAGCAAACAGGAUUAGAUACCCUAGUA
rnacentral:rRNA from 1 species